rnacentral:rRNA from 1 species
GACGAACGCUGGCGGCGUGCCUAAUACAUGCAAGUCGAGCGGAAUGAUGAAGAAGCUUGCUUCUUCUGAUUUUAGCGGCGGACGGGUGAGUAACACGUGGGCAACCUACCUUGUAGAUUGGGAUAACCUCGGGAAACCGUGGCUAAUACCGGAUGAGUUUCUUCCUCUCAUGGGGAAGAAAGAAAGGGGAAACCCGCUUUGGGAUGAAUCCGCGUCCUAUUAGCUAGUCGGUGAGGUAACGGCUCACCGAGGCAACGAUGGGUAGCCGGCCUGAGAGGGUGUACGGCCACACUGGGACUGAGACACGGCCCAGACUCCUACGGGAGGCAGCAGUGGGGAAUCUUGGACAAUGGGCGCAAGCCUGAUCCAGCCAUGCCGCGUGAGUGAUGAAGGCCUUAGGGUCGUAAAGCUCUUUCGCCAGAGAUGAUAAUGACAGUAUCUGGUAAAGAAGUCCCGGCUAACUCCGUG